CCAGUCGAUCACAUACACCCUACCUCCUUAUCCCCUUGUUGCUACUACCAUGGCCCUCCCCUUGCUGCUGCCUACUACUGCCUGUGGUUGCUGCUACUCCCCCUUCCCCCUGCUGCAGUCCAAAGGAGAGGAGAAGGAGAGGGAGGAGAAGACAAGGUGCAGCAAGGAGAGAAGAGAAGGAGAGGGAAGGGAGAGAGAAGAAAGGAGGUGGACUCCUAGCCCUAGGUUGUUCUUCUGAAAGCGAGCAAGGAAGGAAUGAGUUAGCAACACAUCAUCCACUUUUGCACCAUCACAAAUAAUUUAGAGUGGUGUUGUAAUAAUAAAGUAAUAGUUGAUGGUGUCGUUGCUUGAUAGUUUUAAUAAUUCCCUAGAGCAAUUAAGCUCUUGUUCUUUUAUUGCUAGGAUGUUUAAGUGUUAGUUUGCUGGUUUAUUAAAAAAAGUGUCUGUUGGUUGCU